AGUCUAGAUGGAUGUGAUGAAUGUCCCGUUGCUCCCAAAGGCUGUGAUACUCACAGACCUUUAUAUAUGAAGAUUUAUAGAAGUUGUAUGAAAUGCUGUAAGUAACAACAAUAUAUAACAAGUAACAAAGUAGAAUGUAAAUGAUUGCUAGGGUCCCCAAUUCGGUUUUCUCAACGGGUAAAAGCUGGGAUUUAUACAGAACCUUUCUAAACCUUACAUUUAUCAAUGUGAUACAUUUCUCGUAGUCAUUGUCUUUUAAUUCUCAUGAGGCUUUAUGACGAAAGGUCAUGAUGAUUAUAAUCUAUUUUAUUGGGGUAGUUUACCGGAAUAUGACGUGGCACUCACUUUGCGAUUUUAGAUUGCUAAGUUCUAACAAAAACUAUAAUACAUGAGUUACAGGGAUCUCAAAAAUCAAAGCACGCAAACUCAUUAAUAAUUCAUUAAACUUGAUACUACGAAAAUACACGCCCAGAUACUUACUCAACUAUCACGUCGAAUUUAUACGGGUUAGUUUGAGAAAGUAUUUCAUACUCUCAAAGUCGUUGACUGUAGUGGUAUUAAUUUAAAACAGAGAUUCACCUCGUGUAAUGUUUAUACUCAACUCGAGAAUCAUUACUGGGGUCAAGUUUAAAUCGCACGAAUUCAUUGAUUUAUCAGUUGAUAAUUUAGUGUCAGGCGUUUUACAUGUUUAAUAGUAAUUAUGACACUAUUUGAAUAGCUUUUUAACAAUUUCGUGCUAUAUACAUGCGCAAUUUCCAAGUCGAAAGCAAAGCAGACGAGCUUUUAAUUAAGAAGAUUAAAAAAAUGCUGAGUAGUAAUAACAGCUAAACUCGUGAUUUUCACGUUAUGCUUUUCACGAUGUGUCGAUGUCAAUCUUGCUCACUUUCUUAAUAACCAUAUCUUUGGUUUUAGCACAGUUAAUGGUAUUACAGACUUGUGUAUAGGUUUUGUUCAUAUGAGAAGCGCAGAGUACUCAUGCAGAAUGCGACGCGAGACUAUUUGCUACACGCAUGAAUAAUUUGCGUUAUUGACCUCAUACGUUUGCAUAAACUGCGCGUUCAAUAAUAUUCAAAGAGACUAUUAAAGAAUUUUUGUUUAAUAAACAUAUCUAUAAGUCUAUAAAUUUUCUGAGUACAUGUUGUUUACAGUACACUAUUUUAACUUUUAUAUUUUUAUAUGCCAUGUUAUUAUUGCGGUUAUUUAUUGGCACCCUAUAGGUCGUAUGGAUAUAUGAGUCAUUUAACGGAAAUACCAAGCGUACGUUGCCACACGAAAUUGAUAUUUCAGGAAAGUCCCUCUGUAACUCGUGAAUCUGGUUGAAACGAGUUAAACCACAUCCAAACAUUGUGCAAUUAGUUGGUUUGACGUUUAGAAAGCACCAUGGCCAUGGUUUUAUGGGUAGCACGUUUCCCAAGAAAAAUUAUAAUUUGUCAUUAUUAGAGUGAGAUUUAACCAAUGUUAGUAUAAUUACAUAGGUGAUUAUUGAAAAUUCUCCACGCUGAUUGGUUGCCGUUGAGGUGAUUAUUAUGCGAUAAUCACCUAAGCGAUUUUCAAAAUGGCGGCCGAACCCUUUUUGUCAAUUAAAUGACGAAGAAAUGUGUAUUUUCUUAUUUUUUCCAAAUAAUCACCUAUGAAAUUAUACUAAAACAAUUAUUCACCUCAGGCUCGGUGAUUAUCGUGAAUAAAAACCUCGACUUCGUCUCGGUUUUUAUUCACCGAUAAUCACCUCGCCUUCGGCGAAUAAUUGUUAAUUAAUGAUUAAUAAGUUGCUAAUAAACUGUAUAUUUUAUAGUUUUAACAGACACAACUACAUCAAUACCAUCAACUUCAUCAACCUCGUCACCAGCCAUGUCAUCAUCAAACACUAUUUGGGUUGUACUUGGUGUCCUUGGUGGCCUUAUCUUUGUGGGCCUCCUCUUCGCAAAAUUCAUUUUACCUUGUC
rnacentral:lncRNA from 1 species